UACAGAGGGUGCAAGCGUUAAUCGGAAUUAUUGGGCGUAAAGGGCGCGUAGGCGGAAAAUUAAGUUGGAUGUGAAAUCCCUGGGCUUAACCUAGGAACUGCAUCCGAUACUGGUUUUCUAGAGUGUAGUAGAGGGUAGUGGAAUUUCCGGUGUAGCGGUGAAAUGCGUAGAUAUCGGAAGGAACACCAGUGGCGAAGGCGGCUACCUGGACUAACACUGACGCUGAGGCGCGAAAGCGAGGGGAUCAAACAGG
rnacentral:rRNA from 1 species